rnacentral:rRNA from 1 species
UAAAAAGAGCGUAAUAGCUCACUGGUCGAGUCGGCCUGCGCGGAAGAUGUAACGGGGCUAAACCAUGCACCGAAGCUGCGGCAGCGACACUGUGUGUUGUUGGGUAGGGGAGCGUUCUGUAAGCCUGUGAAGGUGGCCUGUGAGGGUUGCUGGAGGUAUCAGAAGUGCGAAUGCUGACAUAAGUAACGAUAAAGCGGGUGAAAAGCCCGCUCGCCGGAAGACCAA